GACGAACGCUGGCGGCGUGCUUAACACAUGCAAGUCGAACGGAAAGGCCCUGCUUUUGUGGGGUGCUCGAGUGGCGAACGGGUGAGUAACACGUGAGUAACCUGCCCUUGACUUUGGGAUAACUUCAGGAAACUGGGGCUAAUACCGGAUAGGAGCUCCUGCUGCAUGGUGGGGGUUGGAAAGUUUCGGCGGUUGGGGAUGUACUCGCGGCUUAUCAGCUUGUUGGUGGGGUAGUGGCUUACCAAGGCUUUGACGGGUAGCCGGCCUGAGAGGGUGACCGGCAACAUGGGGACUGAGAUACGGCACAGACUACUAAGGGAGGCAGCAGGAGGGAAUAGUGCACAAUGGGCGGAAGCCGGAUGCAGCAACGCCGCGUGAGGGAUGACGGCCUUCGGUUUGUAAACCGCUUUGGCCGGUGAGGAAGCGUGAGUGAAGGUAAUGGGUAAAGAAGCACCGGCUAACUACGUG
rnacentral:rRNA from 1 species